rnacentral:rRNA from 1 species
GACGAACGCUGGCGGCGUGCCUAAUACAUGCAAGUUGAGCGAUGAAGAUUGGUGCUUGCACCAAUUUGAAGAGCAGCGAACGGGUGAGUAACGCGUGGGGAAUCUGCCUUUGAGCGGGGGACAACAUUUGGAAACGAAUGCUAAUACCGCAUAACAACUUUAAACAUAAGUUUUAAGUUUGAAAGAUGCAAUUGCAUCACUCAAAGAUGAUCCCGCGUUGUAUUAGCUAGUUGGUGAGGUAAAGGCUCACCAAGGCGAUGAUACAUAGCCGACCUGAGAGGGUGAUCGGCCACAGUGGGACUGAGACACGGCCCAAACUCCUACGGGAGGCAGCAGUAGGGAAUCUUCGGCAAUGGACGAAAGUCUGACCGAGCAACGCCGCGGGAGUGAAGAAGGUUUUCGGAUCGUAAAACUCUGUUGGUAGAGAAGAACGUUGGUGAGAGUGGAAAGCUCAUCAAGUGACGGUAACUACCCAGAAAGGGACGGCUAACUACGUG